GACGAACGCUGGCGGCGUGACUUAACACAUGCAAGUCGAGCGGUAAGGCCCUUUCGGGGGUACACGAGCGGCGAACGGUGAGUAACACGUGGGUGACCUGCCCUCAGCUCUGGGAUAAGCCUGGGAAACCGGUCUAAUACCGGAUAUGACUCCAUGACGCAUGUUGUGGGGUGGAAAGCCUUGUGCGGCUGAGGAUGGGCCCGCGGCCUAUCAGCUUGUUGGUGGGGUGAUGGCCUACCAAGGCGACGACGGUAGCCGGCCUGAGAGGGCGACCGGCCACACUGGGACUGAGACACGGCCCAGACUCCUACGGGAGGCGAGCAGUGGGGAAUCUUGCGCAAUGGGCGAAAGCCUGACGCAGCGACGCCGCGUGAGGGA
rnacentral:rRNA from 1 species